AUUGAACGCUGGCGGCAGGCCUACACAUGCAAGUCGAGCGGGGUUUUCGGACCUAGCGGCGGACGGGUGAGUAAUGCGUAGGAAGCUGCCCGAUAGAGGGGGAUACCAGUUGGAAACGACUGUUAAUACCGCAUAAUGUCUACGGACCAAAGUGUGGGACCUUCGGGCCACAUGCUAUCGGAUGCGCCUACGUGGGAUUAGCUAGUUGGUGAGGUAAUGGCUCACCAAGGCGACGAUCCCUAGCUGGUUUGAGAGGAUGAUCAGCCACACUGGAACUGAGACACGGUCCAGACUCCUACGGGAGGCAGCAGUGGGGAAUAUUGGACAAUGGGCGCAAGCCUGAUCCAGCCAUGCCGCGUGUGUGAAGAAGGCCUUCGGGUUGUAAAGCACUUUCAGCGAGGAGGAAGGGGUGUGUGUUAAUAGUACACACCUUUGACGUUACUCGCAGAAGAAGCACCGGCUAACUCUGUGCCAGCCGCCGCCGCAGUAA
rnacentral:rRNA from 1 species